GAUGGACGCUGGCGGCGUGCCUAAUACAUGCAAGUCGAGCGAACAGACGAGGAGCUUGCUCCUCUGACGUUAGCGGCGGACGGGUGAGUAACACGUGGAUAACCUACCUAUAAGACUGGGAUAACUUCGGGAAACCGGAGCUAAUACCGGAUAAUAUAUUGAACCGCAUGGUUCAAUAGUGAAAGACGGUUUUGCUGUCACUUAUAGAUGGAUCCGCGCCGCAUUAGCUAGUUGGUAAGGUAACGGCUUACCAAGGCGACGAUGCGUAGCCGACCUGAGAGGGGGGUCGGCCACACUGGAACUGAGACACGGUCCAGACUCCUACGGGAGGCAGCAGUAGGGAAUCUUCCGCAAUGGGCGAAAGCCUGACGGAGCAACGCCGCGUGAGUGAUGAAGGUCUUCGGAUCGUAAAACUCUGUUAUUAGGGAAGAACAAAUGUGUAAGUAACUAUGCACGUCUUGACGGUACCUAAUCAGAAAGCCACGGCUAACUACGUG
rnacentral:rRNA from 1 species